rnacentral:rRNA from 1 species
GCUAACUUCCGUCCAGGAGCAUGAUGAAUAGGAAGGGGGCAAGCGUUACUCGGAAUGACUAGUCGUAAAGGGCAGUGAGGUGGUUUUAUAAGGCUGUUGUGAAAGCUCCCGGCUUAACUGGGAGAGGUCAACAGAAACUAUCAGGCUUGAGUGUGGGAGAGGAUACUGGAAUUCCCGGUGUAGCGGUGAAAUGCGCAGAGAUCGGGAGGAACACCAAUGGCGAAAGCAGGUAUCUGGACCACUACUGACACUCAGCUGCGAAAGCUAGGGGAGCAAACAGGAUUAGAUACCCCGGUAGUC